UUGCAGAACGGCAGGGUGCACUCAAAUAAUGAUUUAUUGUCUUCGUCGAGACAGUACGCGAAACUAGCACGACGCAGAUUGUUUGAAUCUAGUUAAAACCUCAAGUCUUUCUUAAAAGUCAGAGUGUUUUCCUGCAGUGACAGAGAGUGUCACCUUCAAACCGUAACAGGUGUUGCAGCCUGUAUGUGUGUGUGAUACAUCAUCACAAUUUGGGGAUGUUUCGUCCACAUCCGGGUAAUCCGAGUUCGUGGAUGUGUGUGUGAUAUACUGUUGGCGACAACCGUUGACGAGAUUUUAUCACGACUGCAUGUGACUAUUUCGUGCUGGAUGAUAUUGUUCUGUGUAUCAUGACUGUGUGUGGCGGUUGCUGAUGAUGUGAUACACAAAGGAGACUUAUUUGGGUCAAGGCAACAGACCUGGCAAUGUCUGCAGCACAACAUAUGGGGGUAUAUCACGUUCAGACCUCGCCCAAUGGAAUGAUCAUAAAAUAGUGUGCAAGGGCAGGCUCAGAACUCAUACCCUUUGGACGUCCACAUGUGCUCUGUUCCAUUGACAUCGGAAACGUAAAUACAAGGAUCGUGACAUAAGGCUUUCAGCAACAUGGAUUAACAAUUUGAAGUGUUGCACUUGAUGUCUGGGACCAAUUCAAGAAUAAAGACGUAGUGGUUCAUCUCAUCUUCUGAACUGGGCAGCUACUAAGUCAUGGCGAGGCUUGGUGUUGUGUUGUUGGCAUACUGUCUGUCCAUCUGUGUGUCUGGGAGUCUGUGUCCAGCUGGAACAACAAGGAAAGUGUCACUGAAUGGAAAACUUGGGUCUCAGGAGUUUCCAAAUCUAUUUUUCAUGGAAAAUAUUUUAUCAAACAUGACAAACCUGGGGGAGGAUGUACAUCUGGAUAUAUCAGAAAAUGCUAUUACAGAUUUGCCGUUUCAAGUAUUCAACCACACAAUCUUUCAACGAGUUACUUCCUUGAAUUUGUCAAACAAUAACCUAACAAAGAUAUCAGAAGGGUUAUUUAACCAGUUCAAGUGUUUAAAAAUCUUAAAUUUAGCUGAUAAUGAACUUGAGAAGAUUUCAAAUGAUGCCUUUAAUGAACACAGUGAUCUUGUGGAGCUCAUACUCAAGAAUAAUGUUCUGACAAAUCUUCCCUCAGGAAUCCUUGGUACUGGUGAAGAGAACUCAACCCUGAGGAGAUUUGAUGCAUCUCGGAACAGGAUCAGAUUCAUUGGUGACAAUGUCUUCCAUGAGGGUCUGGUCUUUCUGGAGCAAGUUGAUCUUUCUUAUAACUACCUGGAGGCAUUUGAGCCCUGGCCAUACAUUCCAAGGAUAUCAAUCUAUUCAAAUAAGCUGUUCUUCAAUCUUCAGUAUAAUCACAUCUCACGUUUCUCAAACACUCUGGGGUGGACACAGAUCAGAGAGCCCAAUGUAAUUGUUAAUCUUACACACAACAGACUCAGGUACUUCAGGAAAGAGGAUUUCAGUCAAUAUGUGGCCGGUAAGAUGCCUACAAUAGUUCAAAUAGAUGAAAUGAGGCUCAUUGUCCGGGACAACCCAUGGUUCUGUGAUUGUGGAUUUCAUUAUUUAUUGAAGCAAAUCAAUGACACGUUCUAUUAUGGUACUAAUGUUGCCCAAAGCUUCAUGAGCUGUGAUGGUCCCAGUGAAUUCAAGGGAUACAAUCUUUCUUAUUUCUUCAAUCAUCCAGACCAACUUAUUUGUAAUAUCACAGAAAGAUGUCCUGCUGACUGCAAGUGUCAAGACCGACCUCAUGAUGGCUACAUACUUGUGGACUGCUCCAGUGCAGGAGAAUACGCCGACUUACCACAGACUGUGCCUCCGGGGCCAUUGUUUCUUCAACUGCCUCAUAACAAAAUAACUUCAUUGUCUCGCAGAGAUUACCUACAAAAUAUCACAAAACUUGAUGUGUCUUCAAAUAACAUUUUACAUUUGGAAGAUUCCUUUCUUGAGAAAGUAACAAGUUUGGAAUAUAUUGACAUUAGAAACAACAGUUUAAAGACUCUGCCACAUAAACUUAGAAACUUUCGCAUGUCAUCCGUCAGGUUCAGUGGAAACCCACUCGUCUGCUCAUGUGACACCAUUUGGCUAAAUGAUUGGGUAAGACGUAAUUCUGAGAACAUGUCUUCUGACUUCCUGUCUCGUCAUUUGUGCUAUCACAAUGGACGUUAUUUACGUCUUGUCGAUUUGAAUUGGAACUCUCUCGUCUGUUAUCGAGAUAUCGCCAUUAGUGUCAGUGUGGUGCUUGGAGUGUUACUUAUCAUUCUCAUCGUUUGUACUGUCGUCUGCUGCAAGCGGAAAUACGAGUGUAAAGUAUUGUUGUAUGAUUACUUCCAUGUUCAUCUUUUUGACAAAGAAUCAUGUGAAAAGACAGAAGAUACUAAGAAAAUAUAUGAUGUGUACCUUUCUAUGGAUAGGGAAAACGAGGACAUCCGACUUUGGGUGAAAGAUGAACUUUUGAAGCGACUCGAGAAAACGUCAAAGUCUCGUCCAGUAUACAAGGUGUAUUACCCCUGUCGUCAGGACAACUUUGGGGACAGCAUAGCAGAUCAGAUGGUGGAGAACAUCAACAAAAGUAGAAGAGUUCUUGCCAUUGUAAAUAGCUCCUAUCUUCAAAACGGCUGGUCAUUAGAAGAAUUCGACCAAGGACAUGAUCUUAUGGAAAAAACUAAAUCAGGUCGUCUGAUUGUUUUACAGCACGGUGAUCUUGACCUCUCUACUGUGACACAGGAGCCAUUGAAGACCUACUUGAGUGGACGUCAUUGUUUGAAUGUCUCUGACCGGUGGUUGUGGAGGAAACUAAGAUACGAACUGCCUGAAAAACCUUGAACCAACCCCAUAUCUGCGUCCAGGGAGAGCCUCGCGAGUGGUAUCAGUACUAUUCACACUUCUCUGUCCGAGAGUAGUGGAAUAUCUGGGAACCAGAUGGACAACCCUGAUUUGGUGUCGACUGAUGUGGUAUAGGUGUAGUGAACUUCACUUGACAUCUCCUUAAGAGAAACUGCUGAGCAGAUUCAGCUCAAAUGUGAUGGCACCAAGGUAACGAGUGUUCGAGUUGUGUUUAAGUCGUCUUUGGCAGUAUUUGUAUGAAUAUGAAGGUCUCUCACCUGGGCUGUUGUAGAUGAUGUCAAUCUAUAUGUUAUUACUUGUUUUCAGAAACUGCUGAUUCAAGUAUGCUUAAAUUUGAAUCGAUCGUUUUCAUUUCAUGUGGGCGGUCAGGUAGCCUUGUGGUUCAAGCGUUCGCUCGUCACGCCGAAGAACCGGGUUCGAUUCCCGACAUGGGUGCAAUGUGUGAAGCCCAUUUCUGGUGUCCCCCGCCGUGAUAUUGCUGGAAUAUUGCUAAAAGCGGCGUAAAAACAUACUCACUCACUCACUCCUUUCAUGGAGUUGCAUUUUGGUUAAGCAGUCAAAAUAUUGUUUUUGGAAAUCAGUAUUGUACGUGGCAUAAAUUGUUAAGACUUUCACACAGUUACUUUUAUGUAUAAAUGUUUACAAACUGUGCACAAUGAUUUAUGUAAGUUCUAUGCAGAAAGAGGUAUAAAGUUAAAUCUAAACAAACCAACGUGGAAGCUGGAUUGUGUAGUACAGAUGGCGCUCCAGCGUCAUACAAGGGUAGAGUUGUAAAAUAGGGUUUAGGGCCACGCGAUUGUCACACAACUGUAUGCAUGUUUACAAGAUGUGUACAACUGUAUGACUUUGACAAUAUCACAGUGGGAUUCGGAUUUCUUGAAAUUUCGUUAUUGAUUUGAUAAAUAGGAGCUUAAGUUAGUUAGGCUUAAGAAUUACAGUAAACUACGGUUAUAACGAACACGCUUAUAACGAACUAACUUUUUAGUCCCGACUAUUUGCUGUAGUUAUGCUGUAUAUAUGCUUAUAACGAACUACGGUUAUAACGAACUGAAAAAAGUAGUCCCUUUGAGUUCGUUAUAACCGUAGUUUACUGUAGUUGUGUAAUUGUAGAACCUUGUGGAUAUGCUGACCAUUUCACAUAACAACAUACACAACUCAUACAAACUAUAUUAAAUACAAAUAUGGUAUCUGGCAAAUAUUGCAAAACUGGUUUUGGUUGACAUUAGUUAACAGUAGAUGUGAAUGUAUAACAUCGUGUAAUCAGGUGAGCUACACUGUCCUGUGCGUUUUCAGGCAUACUGAAUUGCAGGCUUCGGUGAGUAAUCACCAAUUUAAUAUUUGUGUAGCUUUUGCACUGUUAUGAAGGCUAUGCUUAUGUUGUCCCUCAAACAUUCCUGAAAUAUUUAACUGGUCCCAGUGUGUGCUGCGUGUUGUGUGUUGUGAACCAUUGUAUUACCACUUCCUGGUAUACUGUUACAUCGGCCCUUAUAACGCCUCAGCUUAGCAUGAACAUGCACGAUCUUUUUAGAUUAUAAACCACUUGCCUCCGGUGUUGUAUCAAACCUAACGCGGCGGGACGCAUAAACAACACAUAUUCCCUGAACAAUACUGCCACAACUUAUUGUUUUCUUGCGUUAGAAACGUUUGAUUCUCUAACCAUAUUCAUAAAAAUCGCAAAAUUUUGGAAUUCAAUACACACGACGUGGAAAGAAUCACUUUCUAUGAACUGUUGUAGUUAUCACACGGUGCACUAUGGAAAACAAACGUGGAUUUAUCGCCACAAAGAACGAGUCUGUAUUUUAGAGCAAUAUACUUCAGGAAUCGGAGGAAUUUUUUUUUGUAUAAAAACUCUGUUGGGUAGUUUUUAUUCAAAUAUUCUAGUUUGUUUGUUGUUUUACGCCGCACUAUUCCAACUAUAUGAAGACUGUCUGUAAAUAAUCGAGUCUGGACCAGACAUCAUGACCUUUGAUCCACACAAUUGGGAUACGACGACAUUUAUCAACGCGUCUGACCAUCCCAUCCUGUUAGUCGCCUCUUACAACAAGCAUAUAAAUAGUUUAGUAGUUUAUAUAUGUCAGCCUGUUGUAGAAAAUAUGUGUACUUAUAGGCAAAUAAAUAGUAAGUAAAAAUA